UUUAAAGAGAGUUUGAUCCUGGCUCAGGACGAACGCUGGCGGCGUGCCUAAUACAUGCAAGUCGAACGAACGGAGGAAGAGCUUGCUCUUCCAAAGUUAGUGGCGGACGGGUGAGUAACACGUGGGCAACCUGCCUGUAAGUUGGGGAUAACUCCGGGAAACCGGGGCUAAUACCGAAUGAUAAAGUGUGGCGCAUGCCACGCUUUUGAAAGAUGGUUUCGGCUAUCGCUUACAGAUGGGCCCGCGGUGCAUUAGCUAGUUGGUAGGGUAAUGGCCUACCAAGGCAACGAUGCA
rnacentral:rRNA from 1 species